GUCAGGAUGGCCGAGCGGUCUAAGGCGCCAGACUCAAGGUAUUAUAGCCUUAUCCGUCAUAGACGGAUGAAGAGCGUUCUGGUCCUCUCUGAGGGCGCGGGUUCGAAUCCCGCUUCUGACA
rnacentral:tRNA from 1 species